rnacentral:tRNA from 1 species
AAGUAAGAAACAAAAAUUUGUAUUUAGUUUCGACCUAAAAUUAUGAUGAUAAAAACAUCCUUACUUU